UACGUAGAGUCCGAGCGUUGUCCGGAAUUAUUGGGCGUAAAGGGCUCGUAGGCGGUUCGUCACGUCGGGAGUGAAAACUCGGAGCUUAACUCCGAGCCUGCUUCCGAUACGGGCAGACUAGAGGUAGGCAGGGGAGAGCGGAACUCCUGGUGUAGCGGUGGAAUGCGCAGAUAUCAAGAGGAACACCUGAGGUGAAGACGGGUUGCUGGGCUGACACUGACGCUGAGGCGCGAAAGCUAGGGUAGCAAACGGG
rnacentral:rRNA from 1 species